ACCAAGGAGUCUGACAUGUGUCCAAGUCAACGGGCUAGUAAAUUCGUAAGGCUUAAGGAAUCUGAUUGGUGGGAUCCCCCUAAGGGGUGCACCGCCGACCGACCUUGAUCUUCUGAGAAGGGUUCGAGUGUGAGCAUACAUGUUGGGACCUGAAAGAUGCUGAACUAUGCCUGAGCGAGGUGAAGCCAAAACAUACUCUGGUGGAGGCCCGUAGCGAUACUGACGUGCAAAUCGUUCAUCUGACUUGGAUAUAGGGGCGAAAGACUAAUCGAACCGUCUAGUAGCUAGUUCCCUUCGAAGUCUCCCUCAGAAUAGUUGGAGCUCGCGUGUGAGUUCUAUUGGGUAAAGACAAUGAUUAUAGGAUUCGUGAGCGCAACAGCCUUGACCUAUUCUCAAACUUUAAAUCAGUAGGACGGCGGGACUGCUUUGUCGAGCUGCACCACGAAAUCAGAAGCUCAAAGUGGACCAUUUUUGGUAAGUUGAACUGGCUCUGCGGGAUGAACGGAAAGCUGGCUUAUGGUGCCAAACUGCACUCUAACCAAGAUCCAACAAAGGGUGUUGGUCGAUUAAGACAGCAGGAAGGUGCUCAUGGAAGUCGAAAUCCGCUAAGGAGUGUGUACCAAUUCAGCAGCCAAGUAAACUAACCCCGAAAAUGGAUGGCGCUUGAGCGCGUGACCUACACCCAGCCGUCAGGGAAAGUGCCAGACCCCGAUGAGUUGGAGGGAAUAGCGAUCGCUGUAAAACCUUGGGCAUGAACCUGGGCGGAGCAGCCGUUAAUGCAGAUCUUGGUGGUAGUAGCAAAUAUUCAAAUGAGAACUUUGAAGGGUGAAAAGGGGAAAGGUUCAAUGUGAAUGGCACUAGCACAUGGGUUAGUCGAUCCUAUGGGUCGAGGGAACCCCGACAGAUAAUGCAUUUCGUGCGUACCCCGAAAGGGAACCGGGUUAAGAUUCCGGAAUCGGGACGUGGCGGUUGACGACAACGAUUGGAAGUCGGUGGAAGCCUCGGGAAGAGUUGCCUUUUCUGUUUCACAUCAUGCCCACCAUGGAAUCGGCUCUGCCGGAGGUAGGGUCCAACGGCUGGAAGAGCACCACACGUCACGUGGUGUCCGGUGCUCUCCCGACGAUCCUUGAAAAUCCAGAGGACCGAAUGUUGUCCACGGUUGGUCGUACUCAUAACCGCAUCAGGUCUGCAAGGUGAACAACCUCUAGUU
rnacentral:rRNA from 1 species